rnacentral:snoRNA from 1 species
CCUGCCCCAGAAGUAGCUGCUGUGUCACAUGUGCAUCAGUCCAUGCAUCAGGCAGAGGACAGAGAGGCUAUACCUGUGCUCAUUGUUCUGACCUAUGAACAUCUGAAUGAUUAGUAGCCUAACAUU